GAAUUUUGGACAAUGGGCGCAAGCCUGAUCCAGCAAUGCCGCGUGCAGGAAGAAGGCCUUCGGGUUGUAAACUGCUUUUGUCAGGGAAGAAAUCCUCUGGGUUAAUACCUCGGGGGGAUGACGGUACCUGAAGAAUAAGCACCGGCUAACUACGUGCCAGCCGCCGCGGUAAUACGUAGGGUGCGAGCGUUAAUCGGAAUUACUGGGCGUAAAGCGUGCGCAGGCGGUUGUGCAAGACAGAUGUGAAAUCCCCGGGCUUAACCUGGGAACUGCAUUUGUGACUGCACGGCUAGAGUACGGUAGAGGGGGAUGGAAUUCCGCGUGUAGCAGUGAAAUGCGUAGAUAUGCGGAGGAACACCGAUGGCGAAGGCAAUCCCCUGGACCUGUACUGACGCUCAUGCACGAAAGCGUGGGGAGCAAACAG
rnacentral:rRNA from 1 species